GAGAAAAUUGGUGGAUUUCAAGUAAUCAAGCAAUGAAAGAUGGUGAAUCCUCCGAAAAAAAUAAGGGCAAAGAAAUUGCACCCGAGGAUCAAUAGUCAGAGUACUUCAAAAUCCAAACUCUUAACAUAUGGGCAGGUUUCCGUAGACCAGCUUAUUAGAGGGGCACGGUAAACCCUGUUAUAUCUUACCUCAGUAUGAGAGGCGCGGGUGGAUAACUC